GUUUGCUCGGCCGUCUUCGCUACUCAUACACAUGACUUGUUUACGAUUAUUGAGGAGCUUGUCAUCAUUGUUGAUGAUAGUAACCUUAUUAAUGGCCUCGAAGAAGAGGAUCGUCCCUAGUUAUGAUCAUCAUCAAGAUGCUAUAAUAGGUGCUGCUCGUCGCCCGUCGUUGGAUUGAGAGUUCUCUAUUUCGGAGAAGUGCACGGCAUGGAGGAGAAUUCUUCGGAGCAUAAUGAGGAUUAAGUCCAUGGUUGCGCGCUCUCCACUGUAAAGCAACAGCGAGAUAUGGUAUUCAGACGCGAACGCGAGACGCAAAGAGACCAGCAGUAAAGAAAAUGGACAGGAACAACUUGAGUUGAUAUGUCACGGCCAAGUCCAAGAUCUUUCCGGCUGUG
rnacentral:sRNA from 1 species